GAUUAUUCUUUUAUAUGAUUGACUCAAAGUUUGCUGAGGAACAAGUCCAGGCAAGUCCUGGGCAAAGGCAGAGAAAUCUUUUGUCUUGAGGACACUGAUGGACAGGUCCUGGCUAAGGAUUGUGAAAUCCUCUAAGGAGCACAGAUGGACAAGGCCAGGGGCAACGAGAGAGAGAUAAGCUGCUGCUAAUGGCCGGGAAACGGUCUUUUUGUGUGGACUUAUCUCGAGGAAGAUGGCCAUCUCAGGAGCACAGAUGGACAAGGCCAGGG
rnacentral:lncRNA from 1 species